rnacentral:rRNA from 1 species
UAAUACGGAGGAUCCAAGCGUUAUCCGGAUUUAUUGGGUUUAAAGGGUGCGUAGGCGGCCUGUUAAGUCAGGGGUGAAAGACGGUGGCUCAACCAUCGCAGUGCCCUUGAUACUGAUGGGCUUGAAUGGACUAGAGGUAGGCGGAAUGUGACAAGUAGCGGUGAAAUGCAUAGAUAUGUCACAGAACACCGAUUGCGAAGGCAGCUUACUAUGGUUUUAUUGACGCUGAGGCACGAAAGCGUGGGGAUCGAACAGGAUUAGAUACCCUGGUAGUCCACGCCCUAAACGAUGAACACUCGCUGUUGGCGAUAAACGGUCAGCGGCUAAGCGAAAGCGUUAAGUGUUCCACCUGGGGAGUACGCCCGCAAGGGUGAAACUCAAAUGAAUUGACGG